rnacentral:lncRNA from 1 species
AAAUUUUCACAAAAAAGUAACACGAUAAAAUAUUAGGAUUAGAAUUUUUAGGAUGAAUAAAUAAAUAAAUAAAUAAAUAAAUAAAUAUAUUAAUUAAAAAAAUAUAUUUUGUAAUUAAAAUAUAUGUGUGGGUACCCGUGGGUACCCGCGGGUUACCCAAAAUGCCCAUAGCUUAAUGGGUACCCACCAGUUUUACCCAUAAUUUUUUAGGUUGAAAAAGUUGGUGCCCAUACCCGCAAAUUUGC